rnacentral:rRNA from 1 species
AUGAUAGACAGGAUUAAGGCACAACUAACCACCAGGAUGGUUACAAAAAAUGAAGAAUUGCUGAGCUGGACUUAUCCAAUCUACCCAAAGAUUAAGAACGGGCUUGACAAGAACACAGAAUUAGCUAACACAUGCUAUGCUGAAUUAGCUGGAGAUGGCAUAUAUUCUGUGGAGGACAGAGGCUACACUUACAUCGUGGACAUACAUGUGGAGAGUUGCAGCUAUAGAAGAUGGAAUUUAACUGGAAUUCCAUGUUGCAGGAGAGAAAGAAUUUCCCCUAUUGAGCUGGUGUACAAGUGUUAUUCUAUUGAUUAUUACCACAAGGCAUACUCUCAUUUCAUUGUGCCUUGCAGAGAUAGAAGAGAGUGGAAAAAAAAUGAAUGGAUGCCCUAUUGCACCACCUCUUUAUGUCAAAAAAGUUGGAAACCUUGGUCAUAA